rnacentral:lncRNA from 1 species
CAACUUGUAUGAACAAAAAUUAAAGUACAUACAUUUACACUCGAACACUAAAAUCUAUCCACUCGUGACUAUUGCAAAUUUGAGAGGGCAGUUGUGAUUUGUAAAAGUGCGGAUGAAUGUCGCGAUUUGAAUGCAACCCGGACCCGGUUAACUUUUUAACUUUGGACAUAUUUGAAUGGAAUAUAGAUGAUAAGAAGACAGUAGAGUUUAGAGUUUGAAAUCGAUGCUUUAAUCUAAGGAAUGACGGCUGGUUGGUGCAAAUUUGAUACUUUAAUGCAACAUGGCCUACAGACAGCUGUAAUUGAUAGACUGUUUUUUUUCUUUUUUGGCUACUAUUCAAUCCAUCAAUAUCCACGUUUGUGUACAGGGAGAGAAGAUUCUCUUAGUGCCGUGAUUUACAAAC